rnacentral:pre_miRNA from 1 species
CAUGUACUCCCUUCGUUCGGAAUUAUUCGUCUAAAAAAUAAAUGUAUUUAGAUGUAUUUUAGUUGUAGAUAGAUUCAUUUUUCUGACAAGUAAUUCCGAAUGGAGGGAGUAUAAG